GAGAGCUGCAAGUUUAAAGAGGGAAUUACCCAGGGGGAGGGACGGUCAAGCAGUGCCCAAGCAGAGGCACAAACCCAACACGGAGCUAACAGCAGAGAGAGAAGCCCAGGACGCGGCUCCCCCACGGAGCACAGAGGCAGGCGGUAGGCUCCCUGAAGUGGCAUUACGACCCGAGCUUCAAACCUGGCACCAUGUGGGGAGACAGCAGACCCCCACUGAAAAUGGCACCUUAAUUAGCCUCAGGAAGAGUUUGUUUUAUUUUGGCCACAGAUGGCAGCCCACCCGGCUCCCCCGUCCCCAGGAUUCUCCAGGCAAGAACACUGGAGUGGGUUGCCAUUUCCUUCUCCAAUGCAUGAAAGUAAAAAGUGAAAGUGAAGUCGCUCAGUGGUGUCC
ensembl:lncRNA